GCAGUUAACACAAUAAGUAUCCCACGUGGGGAGUACGGUCGCAAGAUUAAAACUCAAAGGAAUUGACGGGGACCCGCACAAGCAGUGGAGUAUGUGGUUUAAUUCGAAGCAACGCGAAGAACCUUACCAGGGCUUGACAUCCCGUGCAUACCAUAGAGAUAUGGGAAGCCCUUCGGGGCACGGAGACAGGUGGUGCAUGGUUGUCGUCAGCUCGUGUCGUGAGAUGUUGGGUUAAGUCCCGCAACGAGCGCAACCCUUAUUGUUAGUUGCCAUCAUUAAGUUGGGCACUCUAACGAGACUGCCGGUGACAAAUCGGAGGAAGGUGGGGACGACGUCAAAUCAUCAUGCCCCUUACGUCGUGGGCUACACACGUACUACAAUGGCUGAAACAGAGGGAAGCGAAACCGCGAGGUGGAGCAAAUCUCCAAAUACAGUCUCAGUUCGGAUUGUAGGCUGCAACCCGCCUACAUGAAGUUGGAAUUGCUAGUAAUCGCGAAUCAGAAUGUCGCGGUGAAUACGUUCCCGG
rnacentral:rRNA from 1 species